rnacentral:rRNA from 1 species
AUUGAACGCUGGCGGCACGCUUAACACAUGCAAGUCGAGCGGUAACAUGACUAGUAGCAAUACUAGUUGAUGACGAGCGGCGGACGGGUGAGUAACACGUAGGAACUUGCCCAGUAGUGGGGGACAACCAAGGGAAACUUUGGCUAAUACCGCAUAUUCUCGAGAGAGGAAAGCUGCCGCAAGGUGGCGCUAUUGGAGAGGCCUGCGUCCGAUUAGCUAGUUGGUGAGGUAAAGGCUCACCAAGGCGAGGAUCGGUAACUGGUCUGAGAGGACGACCAGUCACACUGGGACUGAGACACGGACCAGACUCCUACGGGAGGCAGCAGUGGGGAAUCUUGGACAAUGGGGGCAACCCUGAUCCAGCGAUGCCGCGUGAGUGAAGAAGGCCUUCGGGUCGUAAAGCUCUUUAGGCUGGGAAGAAGGUUGGUAGUUUAAGAGAUAAUCAAUUUGACUGUACCAGCAGAAUAAGCACCGGCAAACUCUGUGCCAGCAGCCGCCGCGG